AGGCUGGUGUUUAACUUCUGGCCUCAAGGGAUCCUGCUGUUCUGGCUUCCCAAAACACUGGGACUGUAGACAUGAGAUCCCGCCCUGCAAUGGCCAAAAUGUGAUCUUUCGCACCAUAUUAAAGCCUAUUCUAGGAUUUGGUCCUAAAAUGAAAGGAGGAAAAAAAAAAAAAAAAAAGACAUGCAGAUUCCUGACAUUCUUUCCUAACCAGAAUCCUGUCGAACUCCUAAUAUGAAAUUCUUCCUCAAAAUAUAUACUAACCCCCUUUCAUUUUUAUUUGAUGACUUCCAGCCUAUUUUUUCCUCAAAAAACUAGUGUUAUCGUCUAAAUUCCCUUCUUUUAAAAAUGUGGUCAUGUGAUUUGUAAAUAAAUCUGUUAACCUG